GUGAAGGAGACAAGAAAUAGAUCGGGUAGGGUAUAUUUCAAUUGGGAAGAAGGAAAAUCGAAUCUCUUGUUUAUAACAAGAGAAUAAUUGAUAGAUGGUUUGAGAGAGGUAAGAAACCUCAUCAAAUAUUGAUAGAUGGUUUGAGAGAGAUUUCAAAAGAACACUGCGAUGGAAGCCCAAGUAGUCAAGUACCUAAGAAAAAAAUGUUAAGAAUGAAAGUGAGAAAGAGAAACAUGCAGUGUCUUGGCAACUCUAGGUCAUAGUUGAGGUUAAACGCUGAGGAAGCUGAUUGGUAACACCAAUCUAUUAAGGUGUCUCAUGGUUGUCAAGAAAAGUUUACGAGAAAACACAAAAAUGUAUAUCCAUUUGUUCGGCACUAGGUGGAUACACCGUCAUUUCUUAAACUAUAUCCAUCUGGUCGAUGUUACAUGGAUACAUCUCUACUUCUAAAUAUCAUAUAUGAACAUUUACUUGCGGAUUGUCAGCUAUAGGAAUCCGUCCAUUACUCUUCGAACAUAUGUUCUCCACCUAAUGAAGUGUUCUUGUAUUUGAUUUUGGUGAACAAUGUUUAGAUUUGGUGAUUCAUCUUUCGUUUUCUGUUGUGCAGC
rnacentral:misc_RNA from 1 species